UCUGGUGACUAGAGCAUAGAGGUUACACCUGUUCCCAUGCCGAACACAGAAGUUAAGCUCUAUUACGGUGAAAAUAGUGCAUUUGUGCGAAACUAGCGCGUUGCCAGGU
rnacentral:rRNA from 1 species